rnacentral:rRNA from 1 species
UACGGAGGGUGCGAGCGUUGUCCGGAAUCACUGGGCGUAAAGGGCGCGUAGGCGGCCUGGUAAGGUGGUGGUGAAAGCCCGGGGCUCAACCCAGGAAGUGCAUUCGAUACUGCGGAGCUGGAGUCCCGGAGAGGAUGGCGGAAUUCUCGGUGUAGAGGUGAAAUUCGUAGAUAUCGAGAGGAACAUCGGUGGCGAAGGCGGCCAUCUGGACGGUGACUGACGCUGAGACGCGAAAGCGUGGGGAGCAAACAGG